GGACGGAUGCUUGCAUCCGCUGACGAGUGGCGCACGGGUGCGUAACGCGUAUAGAACCUACCUUUUACUGGGGGAUAGCCCGGAGAAAUCCGGAUUAAUACCCCAUAGUAAUGUCUCAGGGCAUCCUGAGAUGUUUAAAGCUUCGGCGGUAAAAGAUGGCUAUGCGUCUUAUUAGCUAGUAGGCGAGGUAACGGCUCACCUAGGCAACGAUAAGUAGGGGCCCUGAGAGGGGGAUCCCCCACACUGGUACUGAGACACGGACCAGACUCCUACGGGAGGCAGCAGUGAGGAAUAUUGGACAAUGGUCGAGAGACUGAUCCAGCCAUGCCGCGUGCAGGAAGACGGCCCUAUGGGUUGUAAACUGCUUUUGUACGGGAAGAAUAAUACCCACGUGUGGGUAGAUGACGGUACCGUACGAAUAAGGACCGGCUAACUCCGUGCCAGCAGCCGCGGUAAUACGGAGGGUCCGAGCGUUAUCCGGAAUCAUUGGGUUUAAAGGGUCCGCAGGCGGGCCAGUAAGUCAGGGGUGAAAGUUUGCGGCUUAACCGUAAAAUUGCCUUUGAUACUGCUGGUCUUGAGUUGCGGUGAAGUGGCCGGAAUAUGUGGUGUAGCGGUGAAAUGCAUAGAUAUCACAUAGAACACCGAUUGCGAAGGCAGGUCACUAACCGCCGACUGACGCUGAUGGACGAAAGCGUGGGGAGCGAACGGGAUUAGAUACCCCGGUAGUCCACGCCGUAAACGAUGGACACUAGCUGUCGGGCCUUAUGGUUCGGCGGCCCAGCGAAAGUGAUAAGUGUCCCACCUGGGGAGUACGUCGGCAACGAUGAAACUCAAAGGAAUUGACGGGGGCCCGCACAAGCGGUGGAGCAUGUGGUUUAAUUCGAUGAUACGCGAGGAACCUUACCAGGGCUUAAAUGUAGUGGGACAGGGGUAGAGAUACCCUUUUCUUCGGACUCAUUACAAGUGCUGCAUGGUUUGUCGUCAGCUCGUGCCGUGAGGUGUCAGUUAAGUCCUAUACGAGCGCAACCCUUACCGUUAGUUGC
rnacentral:rRNA from 1 species